rnacentral:rRNA from 1 species
ACUCAAAUGAAUUGACGGGGACCUGCACAAGCGGUGGAGCGUGCGGUUUAAUUCGAUACUAAGCGAAGAACCUUACCAAGGCUUGACAUCUCUAGAAGUCCCGAGAAACCGGGAUGUGCCGAAAGGAACUAGAUGACAGGUGCUGCACGGUUGUCGUCAGCUCGUGCUGUGAAGUGUCCCGUUCAGUCGGUUAACGAGCGCAACCCCUAUCUUGUGUUAUAUAUGUCACAAGAAACUGCCCCAGUUAAUGGGGAGGAAGGUGGGGACGACGUCAAAUCAGCGUGGCUCUUACGCCUUGGGCGACACGCGCGCUACAAUGGGAAGUAACAAUGGGUUGCCAAACCGCAAGGUGGAGCUAAUCCCAUCAAACCUUCCCCCAGUUCGGAUUGGAGGCUGCAACUCGCCUCCAUGAAGUCGGAAUCGCUAGUAAUGGCCGGUCAGCCAUACGGCCGUGAAUACGUUCUCAGGUCUUGUACACACCGCCCGU